AACGCACCUUGCGCCCUCUGGUAUUCCGGGGGGCAUAUCUGUUUGAGAAUCAGUUUAAACCUCACCAGUAGAUUAGAGCUUCUAGUCUAAUGGUGGAAUUGAGAUAUCUCUUGCUAGUUGAGAGUGUCUUUAAACUGAUACCCACCUUUUUAGCAGACUGACAAGUUUAAAGGCAAUAUGACUGAACAGUCUCUGUUCUUAUUUGCUGGCAGCUUGUUAGAAACCUAAUCUAGGAAGGGAGACAACCAAUUUAAAUACAAAGGUCUAAACAACCUUUAAGACUUGGUCUCAAAUCAGAUAAGACUACCCGCUGAACUUAA
rnacentral:misc_RNA from 1 species